UUAUACAUGCAGUCGAGCGAGGUUACUGCGACAGAUCCCUUCGGGGUGAAGUUGCUUUAGCCUAGCGGCGGACGGGUGAGUAACGCGUGGGUAACCUACCCUAAAGUUCGGGAUAACAGCGGGAAACCGCUGCUAAUACCGGAUGCCUUUACCAUGUGGCAUCACAAGGUAAAGAAAGGUAACGCUUUAGGAUGGGCCCGCGUCCCAUUAGCUAGUUGGUGAGGUAACGGCUCACCAAGGCCACGAUGGGUAGCCGGCCUGAGAGGGUGAACGGCCACACUGGGACUGAGACACGGCCCAGACUCCUACGGGAGGCAGCAGUAGGGAAUAUUGCGCAAUGGGCGGAAGCCUGACGCAGCGACGCCGCGUGAGCGAAGAAGGCCUUCGGGUCGUAAAGCUCUGUCCUUGGGGAAGAAGGCGAAAGCUUGACGGUACCCAAGAAGAAAGCCCCGGCUAACUACGUGCCAGCAGCCGCGGUAAUACGUAGGGGGCGAGCGUUGUCCGGAAUUACUGGGCGUAAAGGGUGCGUAGGCGGCCUUUUAAGUCAGAUGUGAAAGGCUGCGGCUUAACCGCAGGACUGCAUUUGAAACUGGAAGGCUUGAGUGUCGGAGAGGGUAGUGGAAUUCCCAGUGUAGCGGUGAAAUGCGUAGAUAUUGGGAGGAACACCAGUGGCGAAGGCGACUACCUGGACGAUAACUGACGCUGAGGCACGAAAGCUAGGGGAGCAAACAGGAUUAGAUACCCUGGUAGUCCUAGCCGUAAACGAUGGGUACUAGGUGUAGGUGGUUUCGAUACCAUCUGUGCCGCAGUUAACGCAAUAAGUACCCCGCCUGGGGAGUACGGUCGCAAGAAUAAAACUCAAAGGAAUUGACGGGGGCCCGCACAAGCGGAGGAACAUGUGGUUUAAUUCGAUGAUACGCGAGGAACCUUACCCGGGCUUGAAAUGCAGAUGAUCGAAGUGGAGACACUUUUUCCAGCGAUGGCGUCUGUGUAGGUGCUGCAUGGUUGUCGUCAGCUCGUGCCGUGAGGUGUCGGCUUAAGUGCCAUAACGAGCGCAACCCUCAUUACUAGUUACCAUCAGGUCUAGCUGGGGACUCUAGUGAGACUGCCGGCGUAAGCUGUGAGGAAGGUGGGGAUGACGUCAAAUCAGCACGGCCCUUAUGUCCGGGGCGACACACGUGUUACAAUGGGGAGUACAGCGGGAAGCUACCUGGCGACAGGAUGCCAAUCUUUUAAAACUCUUCUCAGUUCGGAUCGGAGUCUGCAACUCGACUUCGUGAAGCUGGAUUCGCUAGUAAUCGCGCAUCAGCCACGGCGCGGUGAAUAC
rnacentral:rRNA from 1 species